rnacentral:rRNA from 1 species
UACAGAGGUCCCAAGCGUUGUUCGGAUUCACUGGGCGUAAAGGGUGCGUAGGUGGUCGGGUAAGUCCGAUGUGAAAUCUCCGAGCUUAACUCGGAAACUGCAUCGGAUACUAUUCGACUCGAGGGUUGGAGGGGGGACUGGAAUUCUCGGUGUAGCAGUGAAAUGCGUAGAUAUCAAGUGGAACACCAGUGGCGAAGGCGAAUCCCUGGAAAAUACCUGACACUGAGGCACGAAAGCUAGGGGAGCAAACAGG